CGGAGCGGUACAUUUCUAGCUUGCUAGAAGAUGACGAGCGGCGGACGGGUGAGUAAUGCUUGGGAAUAUGCCUUAGGGUGGGGGACAACAGUUGGAAACGACUGCUAAUACCGCAUAACGUCUACGGACCAAAGGGGGCUUCGGCUCUCGCCCUUAGAUUAGCCCAAGUGGGAUUAGCUAGUUGGUGAGGUAAUGGCUCACCAAGGCGACGAUCCCUAGCUGGUUUGAGAGGAUGAUCAGCCACACUGGAACUGAGACACGGUCCAGACUCCUACGGGUAGGCAGCAGUGGGGAAUAUUGCACAAUGGGCGCAAGCCUGAUGCAGCCAUGCCGCGUGUGUGAAGAAGGCCUUAGGGUUGUAAAGCACUUUCAGUAAGGAGGAAAGGUUAGUAGUUAAUACCUGCUAGCUGUGACGUUACUUACAGAAGAAGCACCGGCUAACUCCGUGCCAGCAGCCGCGGUAAUACGGAGGGUGCGAGCGUUAAUCGGAAUUACUGGGCGUAAAGCGUACGCAGGCGGUUUGUUAAGCGAGAUGUGAAAGCCCCGGGCUCAACCUGGGAACUGCAUUUCGAACUGGCAAACUAGAGUAUGAUAGAGGGUGGUAGAAUUUCAGUGUAGCGGUGAAAUGCGUAGAGAUCUGAAGGAAUACCGAUGGCGAAGGCAGCCACCUGGGUCAAUACUGACGCUCAUGUACGAAAGCGUGGGGAGCAAACGGGAUUAGAUACCCCGGUAGUCCACGCCGUAAAC
rnacentral:rRNA from 1 species